UCAACCUGGGAACUGCAUUCGAAACUGGCAGGCUAGAGUCUUGUAGAGGGGGGUAGAAUUCCAGGUGUAGCGGUGAAAUGCGUAGAGAUCUGGAGGAAUACCGGUGGCGAAGGCGGCCCCCUGGACAAAGACUGACGCUCAGGUGCGAAAGCGUGGGGAGCAAACAGGAUUAGAUACCCUGGUAGUCCACGCCGUAAACGAUGUCGAUUUGGAGGUUGUGCCCUUGAGGCGUGGCUUCCGGAGCUAACGCGUUAAAUCGACCGCCUGGGGAGUACGGCCGCAAGGUUAAAACUCAAAUGAAUUGACGGGGGCCCGCACAAGCGGUGGAGCAUGUGGUUUAAUUCGAUGCAACGCGAAGAACCUUACCUG
rnacentral:rRNA from 1 species